rnacentral:rRNA from 1 species
GAGUUUGAUUAUGGCUCAGGACAAACGCUGGCGGCAUGCCUAACACAUGCAAGUCGAACGGACGAGUUAGUGGAAAUUUUUCGGAAUGGAAACUAAUGCGUUAGUGGCGGAUGGGUGAGUAACGCGUGGAUAACCUGCCUCUAAAUGGGGAAUAACUACGAGAAAUCGUAGCUAAUACCGCAUAAUAUCUCUUUAUUGCAUGAUAGAGAGAGGAAAGACGGCCUUAGAGCUGUCGUUUAGAGAUGGAUCCGCGUCUGAUUAGCUAGUUGGUGAGGUAAGGGCUCACCAAGGCGACGAUCAGUAGCCGGCCUGAGAGGGUGAACGGCCACAUUGGGACUGAGACACGGCCCAAACUCCUACGGGAGGCAGCAGUGGGGAAUCUUCCGCAAUGGGCGCAAGCCUGACGGAGCAAUGCCGCGUGAGUGAAGAAGGCCUUCGGGUUGUAAAACUCUGUCCUUAUCGAAGAGAGAGAAGAGUAGUAACUGACUUUUCUAGGACGGUA